rnacentral:misc_RNA from 1 species
CGAACAGUAGACACAAAGUUGAUUAUUCCAUGUGUUGCUGUCCCCAAGAGUGGCAGCGUACAACACAAUUUCCUCCACCUGGAUUUCGUCGCAAUAAGGGGUAUUGUAGGAUACACUCUCAUCUUAAUCUUUACAAUUCGUACGGUUCUUGCCCCUCAAGUCCUCAACGGCAUGUUGAAUCUGAGAUUCCCAUAUAUUGUCGCGGAACUAAGUCUGCUGACCAGAGGCUUAGAAAUCAUGAGGUGGAGAGGUACUGGAGGGAGAAACAUUAUUUGGCUAAGCGACGCCUAAGACCCGUAGCAGGUGGAGCCCCUUUCAUAACUUGUUAUUGUUGCU